GACGAACGCUGGCGGCGUGCUUAACACAUGCAAGUCGAACGAGACGAUUGAAAGCUUGCUUUUGAAAGUCGAGUGGCAAACGGGUGAGUAACGCGUAGACAACCUGCCUUUGAGAUGGGGACAACAGUUCGAAAGGACUGCUAAUACCGAAUGUUGUAUAUUUUCCACAUGGAAGAUAUAUUAAAGAUGGCCUCUAUUUAUAAGCUAUCGCUCAAAGAUGGGUCUGCGUCUGAUUAGCUGGUUGGUGGGGUAACGGCCUACCAAGGCGACGAUCAGUAGCCGGUCUGAGAGGAUGAACGGCCACAUUGGGACUGGGACACGGCCCAGACUGCUACGGGAGGCAGCAGUGGGGAAUCUUCCACAAUGGACGAAAGUCUGAUGGAGCAACGCCGCGUGAGUGAAGAAGGGUUUCGGCUCGUAAAGCUCUGUUGUCGGGGACGAAUGUGCAGUAUUUGAAUAAAGUAUUGCAAUGACGGUACCUGACGAGGAAGCCACGGCUAACUACGUGCCAGCCGCCGCGGUAA
rnacentral:rRNA from 1 species